rnacentral:rRNA from 1 species
UGCAGUCGAGCGAACAGAUAAGGAGCUUGCUCCUUUGACGUUAGCGGCGGACGGGUGAGUAACACGUGGGUAACCUACCUAUAAGACUGGGAUAACUUCGGGAAACCGGAGCUAAUACCGGAUAACAUUUGGAACCGCAUGGUUCUAAAGUGAAAGAUGGUUUUGCUAUCACUUAUAGAUGGACCCGCGCCGUAUUAGCUAGUUGGUAAGGUAACGGCUUACCAAGGCGACGAUACGUAGCCGACCUGAGAGGGUGAUCGGCCACACUGGAACUGAGACACGGUCCAGACUCCUACGGGAGGCAGCAGUAGGGAAUCUUCCGCAAUGGGCGAAAGCCUGACGGAGCAACGCCGCGUGAGUGAUGAAGGGUUUCGGCUCGUAAAACUCUGUUAUUAGGGAAGAACAAAUGUGUAAGUAACUGUGCACAUCUUGACGGUACCUAAUCAGAAAGCCACGGCUAACUACGUGCCAGCAGCCGCGGUAAUACGUAGGUGGCAAGCGUUAUCCGGAAUUAUUGGGCGUAAAGCGCGCGUAGGCGGUUUCUUAAGUCUGAUGUGAAAGCCCACGGCUCAACCGUGGAGGGUCAUUGGAAACUGGGAAACUUGAGUGCAGAAGAGGAAAGUGGAAUUCCAUGUGUAGCGGUGAAAUGCGCAGAGAUAUGGAGGAACACCAGUGGCGAAGGCGACUUUCUGGUCUGUAACUGACGCUGAUGUGCGAAAGCGUGGGGAUCAAACAGGAUUAGAUACCCUGGUAGUCCACGCCGUAAACGAUGAGUGCUAAGUGUUAGGGGGUUUCCGCCCCUUAGUGCUGCAGCUAACGCAUUAAGCACUCCGCCUGGGGAGUACGACCGCAAGGUUGAAACUCAAAGGAAUUGACGGGGACCCGCACAAGCGGUGGAGCAUGUGGUUUAAUUCGAAGCAACGCGAAGAACCUUACCAAAUCUUGACAUCCUUUGGAAACUCUAGAGAUAGAGCCUUCCCCUUCGGGGGACCAAGUGACAGGUGGUGCAUGGUUGUCGUCAGCUCGUGUCUUGAAAUGUUGGGUUAGUCCCGCAACGAGCGCACCCUUAACUUAGUUGCCUCAUUAGUUGGG